rnacentral:rRNA from 1 species
GGGAUUGCCUUAGUAACGGCGAGUGAAGCGGCAAUAGCUCAGAUUUGAAAUCUACUUCUUUCAGAAGUCGAGUUGUAAUCUGUAGAGGAUGUUUCGGUGUUGGCUCCGGCCUAAGUUCCUUGGAACAGGACGUCACAGAGGGUGAGAAUCCCGUACGUGGCUGGUCUCCUUCACCAUGUGAAACUCCUUCGACGAGUCGAGUUGUUUGGGAAUGCAGCUCUAAACGGGAGGUAAAUUUCUUCUAAAGCUAAAUACCUGCCAGAGACCGAUAGCGCACAAGUAGAGUGAUCGAAAGAUGAAAAGCACUUUGGAAAGAGAGUUAAACAGCACGUGAAAUUGUUGAAAGGGAAGCGCUUGCAAUCAGACUUGUUUAUAUCGGCUUAUCCAAGCUUCUGGCUUGGUGCACUCCUUUAUAUACAGGCCAGCAUCAGUUCGGGCGGUUGGAUAAAGGCUCCAGGAAUGUAGCUCGCCUCGGUGAGUGUUAUAGCCUGGGGUGCAAUGCAGCCUGCCUGGACUGAGGUCCGCGCUUCGGCUAGGAUGCUGGCGUAAUGGUUGUAAGCGGCCCGUCUUGAAACACGGACCAAGGAGUCUAACAUCUAUGCGAGUGUUUGGGUGUAAAACUCAUACGCGUAAUGAAAGUGAACGGAGGUGGGAACCGCAAGGUGCACCAUCGACCGAUCCUGAUGUCUUCGGAUGGAUUUGAGUAAGAGCAUAGCUGUUGGGACCCGAAAGAUGGUGAACUAUGCGUGGGUAGGGUGAAGCCAGAGGAAACUCUGGUGGAGGCUCGCAGCGGUUCUGACGUGCAAAUCGAUCGUCAAACCUGCGCAUA